AAAAAGGCUCAAGCUUCUGUGCCCCUGGGAAAUGGCAGAGGAAGACAGCUUCAGCCUCAGAGCACACAGCACUGAGUUGUAAGAAACAGGUCUCAUCAUCCCCUUGGCCAGCAGAUUUUCACCCUGGGCCCACUAAGAAGCCUGCCAGGGGGUCCUCUGUUGUCUGGACCCUGAGGCUUCAUCCUCAAUGUGUUGGAGCCUAGGAGAGAGGAUUAGAGUUAUGCGAGUUUCCCAACGGUGCAGUCUCUACUCACCGCAACCUCUGCCUCCCGGGUUCAAGCAAUUCUCCUGCCUCAUUCUCUUGGGUAGCUGGGAUUACAAGCAUGCGCCACCACUCCCAGCUAAUUUUGUAUUUUUAGUAGAGAUGGGGUUUCUCCAUGUUGGUCAGGCUGGUCUCGAACUCCUGACCUCAGGUGAUCCGCCCAGCUCAGCUUCCCAAAGUCCUGGGAUUCCAGGCAUAAGCCACUGCGCCUGGCCUGUUUCUAUUUUCUUUUGCCAGGCAGGUUAUGUUAUACUGGGGUUUCUUGCUGAGGUCUGUCCUGGGACUGUCUGAGGUGUCACAAAGAGCCCACAGGUACAGACGAGAAAUUUGAAAGUGAAUCCAGACGCAGCAGAUGACAGCAAGAUGGGACUCCAAGUUCUCUUUCUAGAAAUUACAAGCUGCUCCGCUACCCACACAUGUAGCUCAUUCUCCCUGUGGCCAAGACACUCCUGUGCCUGAGGGAAAGGCAAUGCCUGCGGCAGAAACGGAGCGGUCCCCCAGCCAGGGGAGAGAGUGGCACCUAGUAUGGUACCCAAUGCUCUAAGGCAUGGAGCUGAUUGACUGCUGACUGUAGACCAGCCACUCACCACAGUGUAGGUUGGAAGCCUUCUAAGGCCGUGCGUUCUGCAGAGUCAGCCCAUGAUGGGGCCAGGAGUGUGGGCUCCAGUGUCACCCCCUUGGGAUUUAAUCCUGGCUGCACCUCUGGGGGCCUUGGGAGAGUAUAAGGGAAAGAAAUAGUCCCUUCCUUUCUUUGGAGAGAAGGAAUCCACAAGCUGGAAGGAGGGACCCUGGCACGAAGAAAGGCACAGGCCCCUCCAUAACUUGUUUCUACCACUCCCCUUUGAGGGCCCCUGGGGAAGGUUGGUUAGUCUUGAAUCUGUGCCCAGGAGAAACCAAAAAUCCUUAGUGGGGUUUCUCCCUGUCCUAGGCCUCCUGUCAGAGCUAGCGGAGAUCUGCUGGAAGGAGGCCGGGAGGAGGGGAUGUACGGAUGCCAUCAUGCCUGGAUGGAGGACCAGAAGGUCUUUAUAACAAGUAUUUGUGGAGCUCCUAAUAUGUGCCAAACUGUGGUAGACCUGGAUACCCAGAAACACGGCCACUCCCCUAAAGGAGGUUGCAGGCUAUACCAAUUAAAAUAAUUAUCUCAGUCCCUUCUUAUCAACAGAGUCGUCCAUGGAGACUAUUUCUCCCCCUGCCCCAGGCACACAGAAGCCUUGAGGCUUUCAUUGUGGCCCCACGGUGACAGCACACCCAGGUGGCACUCUCAGCUUAUCACUGAUUUGCAGAGCUGCUGUCUUGCAGCUAAAAGCAAUGUGCUGGUGGAUUUUUAAAAAGAAGUUCUGAGAGGCUUCUUAGAAGGUCUUUCUCCACAUCACUAACUAUUCGGAUUCCGGAGCACGGUGCCAAGCCCCUCCAUUUACUGCAGCCUUGCCCUUCCUCUCAAGAUCCAGCCGCUAAUGCUAUGGGAUGGCUGGUGGCCCCACUUGGGCUCCCCCAACCCCCACCUCGACCCCUAGCUUCCGCCUGUUUGGAGCUGUUAUCAGAGGAAACAGACUUGAACAUGACGGAGUUGCUGUCUCUUGGGCCUGACCAGAGAGUUGUGUUUUCUUGGCCUAUAUCACCUCAGAUUUAUCCUCGGCCUGACCGCAGUCAUUAUCAGCUAAAUUCACCAUCUCUAGAUGCCCAGAAGAUUUCAAAAGUGGACUAUAGGCUGCCAGUUGGUGUUAGAGUUCAGAGAAUCCCUGGACUUCAGCACUAGAAAGGAGCAGCUGCUAUGUCGGGGGUGUCAGGGGCUGGAUGCAGGGGCUGUUGCACUGAUCCCAGCUUGCUCCAUUCACAAGCCCCUCAUCCAUCUCUGAAGACUGGGACCAAAGCCAGGGCUGGGGCAGGCCUCUCUGGGCACAGGGGCCUGUUAGCAUUGGUUUCAUUCCUUCACCAAGAGGCCUAAAGACAUUGGAAUGAUGAGGCAAUUAAUGUGAAACAGAAACAAGUGGCUUUAGUUCCAGGCAUUUGAAACUGAAAGGAAGCUGUUGACAUUCUUUGAGACCCACUCUAGGCUAUGAUUUUUGCUGUGCUAGCCAGAACUCUGCUACUUACUUGAAGUAGGACCUUGGGAAAGUCCCUUCUCUAGGUCUCAAUUUCCUCAUAUGUAAAAGUGCAUCUGGGAUUAGUCAAGACCCUUCCAAGCCUGACAUGCUAUGGUCUAAGUGUCCCAGUAAUCUCUCUGUCACCCAGGGAUCAAAGAUUUACAGAUGUGUAGGAGAGAUGGGGAGGAACACACUAAGAUAUGUCCUUGUGAGUUUAGUUAACUAAAAGACUGGGGGAAAGAAAGGGAAGUAAGAAAAUAAAGUGAAAAGGUGGAAGAAGGCAGAGUGUAAAAGAGGGAGAUAAGGAAAGUACAAAAGAUAGAGAUGUCUGCUGCAAUUUCUCAGUACUCUUCAGAUACAUCCUGGCCAGGUUUACUUUCUUAGGGGCAGGGUAGAUUGUGAGGGUGUGGAAAAUGGUAUUUUUUCAAAGAGAGUCACAAUAGUAUUGCCAUCUCACAUGCUGUUAUACAAUGUGAUCUUGCCAUUUCUCUACCAAGAUAAAUGCAGUCUAGUUUCUCUCCCUUUAAAUCUGAGCUGGCCGUAAGACUUGCAUGAACAAUAAAAUGUGGUGGAAGUUAUUCCAAGUGACUUCUGAGGCUUGGUCAGAAGCAGCUUUCCCUUAGUUACUUUGAGACAUUUGUUCUGAGGGAAGCCAAUCUGACUACCUGAGGCCAUUGUGCUGGAGAAGCCACACAUUGGCAUUCCUGUUGACAAUCCUAGCUGAACCCUGCCUUCUAAUCAUUUCCCUCAAGGCUUAUCAAAUAAGUGAAUGAAGCUAUCUUGGACUCUCCAGACCAGCCCAUGCUGCAGCUAAGUAUUACUGAUCAAUUUCACUUUAUACCACAGGGAGCGGAAGAAUCACCUAGCUGAGCCCUACCCAAAUUCCUGCUGUGUUUGUGCCUAGAUUUUUUUUAUAAAACAAAACACACUGGAACAGGAUGGCAGGAGAUUUUUUUGUUUUUGUUUUUUAAACGCUUGUUUCAAACAGCAAUGAAAAAUCCUUAAAAAUGUAUAAAUAAGACUUCAAGAUUUUAGAGGUGUGAAAUUUCAAAAGAAAUCUGGAGGCUGGGCGUGGUGGCUCACGCCUGUAAUCCCAGCACUUUGGGAGGCUGAGGCA
rnacentral:lncRNA from 1 species